rnacentral:rRNA from 1 species
UACGUAGGGUGCAAGCGUUGUCCGGAAUUAUUGGGCGUAAAGAGCGUGUAGGCGGCCCGACCAGUCCGCUGUGAAAGUCCAGGGCUCAACCCUGGAAUGCCGGUGGAUACUGUCGGGCUAGAGUCCGGAAGGGGCGAGUGGAAUUCCUGGUGCAGCGGUGAAAUGCGCAGAUAUCAGGAGGAACACCAAUGGCGAAGGCAGCUCGCUGGGACGUGACUGACGCUGAGACGCGAAAGCGUGGGGAGCAAACAGG